GAUGAACGCUGGCGGCGUGCCUAAUACAUGCAAGUCGAGCGAACAGACGAGGAGCUUGCUCCUCUGACGUUAGCGGCGGACGGGUGAGUAACACGUGGAUAACCUACCUAUAAGACUGGGAUAACUUCGGGAAACCGGAGCUAAUACCGGAUAAUAUAUCGAACCGCAUGGUUCAAUAGUGAAAGACGGUUUUGCUGUCACUUAUAGAUGGAUCCGCGCCGCAUUAGCUAGUUGGUAAGGUAACGGCUUACCAAGGCGACGAUGCGUAGCCGACCUGAGAGGGUGAUCGGCCACACUGGAACUGAGACACGGUCCAGACUCCUACGGGAGGCAGCAGUAGGGAAUCUUCCGCAAUGGGCGAAAGCUUGACGGAGCAACGCCGCGUGAGUGAUGAAGGUCUUCGGAUCGUAAAACUCUGUUAUUAGGGAAGAACAAAUGUGUAAGUAACUAUGCACGUCUUGACGGUACCUAAUCAGAAAGCCACGGCUAACUACGUG
rnacentral:rRNA from 1 species